AUGGCUGGAGGGCCAUUGGUGCUCUGGAACCACCGGUCGAUACAGAUCCUGGUCCUCCUCAGCCUGGGGCUGCAGCUCGUCCUCUUCGUCUUCGCCGGGAUCCGGCGGCGUCAAAACCUCCCCGUGCGGAGGUUCCUCCUCUGGCUAGCGUACCUCAUGGCCGACUCCACGGCCGUGUACGCCCUCGGCCACCUGUCCUUCAGCAGCACCGUGCUCGGGCACCAGCUCGUCGCGUUCUGGGCGCCGUUCCUGCUGCUGCACCUCGGCGGCCCGGACAACAUCACCGCCUAUGCGCUCCAGGACAACCAGCUCUGGCUCCGCCACCUCACCGUCCUCGUCGUGCAGGUCCUCGGGGCGGGCUACGUCCUCAAAAAGCACAUCGCCGUCGCUGGCGGACAUGACAGGAACUUUCUCCUGGUCGCCUCCAUCCUGAUGUUCGCCGUUGGCUUGGUAAAGUACGUGGAGAGGACGUGGUCGCUCAAGUGCAGCACCCUGGAGAGCAUCGGCGCCUCCCUGAAGGUGAAGCGCCCGGCCAUCCACAAGCAUAACCACCCUCAGGACAGAGUCACGGAGGAGGAGUUCAACCUGCGACGAGCCCACUCGCUCUUCCACGUCUGCAAGCGCACCAUGGUCGAUUCCUCGGUGGUCGAGGAGGACUCCAUGGACAGCCUAGACUCCACGGACGGCCUAGAAGAGUACACCAGCAAGCUUAUACAAGGCGUCGAGCUGUGGACGCUGAUGGAGAUCGAGCUCUCCCUCAUGUACGACGUCCUCUACACCAAGGCGGCCGUGGUCCACACCUUCCCCGGCUACCUAAUCCGCGUCCUCUCGCCGCUUACCGUCGCCACCUCCCUGCUCCUGUUCUGGUUCACCGCCAAGGACGACCACACCAGAGCCGACGUCGCCAUCACCUACGUCCUGCUGGGUGGCGCCGUGUUCAUGGAGACGACGUCGCUCCUGAACGCGUUGGCAUCGUCGUGGACCUUCGCGUUCCUGAGCACCACCAGCUGGAGCUGGCUCCGGUACACCACCCUCUGCAACGAGAGAUGGGACAGGUUCCGGCAUGUGGUUGUGUGGCUUCACCAUCUCGUCAAGGGAGGAAUCGCCGCUCAUAGUAGGUACAAGUCACGAAGGUGGUCAUACACCAUCGGGCAGUACAACUUGCUGCACUUCUGCACGCGCCCCGCCGACACGCCGUUCACCAGCCCCCUGCUCGGGAGGCUGGCCAGGGCGCUGACACUCGAUGAGUGGUGGAACAGGAAGCACUACUCGGCGACCGUCGAGAUGACGGAUGUGAUCAGACGUCAUAUAGCUGUGUACAUGAGCCACCUGUACAGCAAGGGGAGGUUCAACACUGACAUGCUGGGGAAGAAGUGGGGUGAGUACCCACUAGACCGCCGCGGUCUUUACCGCGGCGUCCUCAAGGACUCCCUCGGCGUAGAGUUUCAAGAGGGCAUCAUCAUCUGGCACAUCGCCACCGAGGUCUUCCUCACCAAGAGCGAGAAGGCCAAGGCCAUCGACGCCAUGCCUACCGUGCAUGCCAUUAGGGUGAUGUCGGACUACCUCAUGUUCCUCCUGGUGGAACGUCCCUACAUGCUGCCGGGCCAGCCCCAGAAAAGGUUGUACCAACGGACCUGCGAGAGGCUGGUCACCAUGCGAUCUGCUGAUCCUAGGUACCCGAGCCGUGCACGCGUCGUCAAGGAUUUGUUUCGGAUGAGCGAUGCCCCACACUCUAGCAUUUCUAGGGUUGCUGAGAGGGAGGAGCUCGCCAACAACUUGUACGAUGCAUACGAGGACCGAGAGUUCAGCCUCCUUGCUCCUCGUCUCACUCACAUGGCUCGACUCGCCAAGGAGCUGCUGGAGAAGGAGAAGGAUGGCACCGCCAACUCCUUGAACCUUGUCCUUGACGUGUGGAUGGACAUUCUCGUCUACGCUAGCAACAAGUGCAGCAGGGAGUCUCAUGCCCAGAAGCUCAACAGUGGUGGCGAGCUGACCACCAUCGUGUGGCUUAUGGCAGAAUACAUCUACCAAGCAUCGGUUGCCCAGAGAGAUGAUGUAGUAUAA
rnacentral:rRNA from 1 species